GAUGAACGCUAGCGGGAGGCCUAACACAUGCAAGCCGAGCGGUAGAGAUUCUUCGGAAUCUUGAGAGCGGCGUACGGGUGCGGAACACGUGUGCAACCUACCUGUAUCUGGAGGAUAGCCUUUCGAAAGGAAGAUUAAUACUCCAUAAUAUAUUUGAUGGCAUCAUUAAAUAUUGAAAGCUCCGGCGGAUAGAGAUGGGCACGCGCAAGAUUAGCUAGUUGGUGAGGUAACGGCUCACCAAGGCAAUGAUCUUUAGGGGCCUGAGAGGGUGAUCCCCACACUGGUACUGAGACACGGACCAGACUCCUACGGGAGGCAGCAGUGAGGAAUAUUGGGUCAAAUGGGUGCAAGCCUGAACCAGCCAUCCCGCGUGAAGGACGACCGCCCUAUGGGUUGUAAACUUCUUUUGUAUAGGGAUAAACCUACUCUCGUGAGAGUAGCUGAAGGUACUAUACGAAUAAGCACCGGCUAACUCCGUGCCAGCAGCCGCGGUAAU
rnacentral:rRNA from 1 species